GCCUGUGAUUUAUUGUGCUCUGACGCCACCCAGUGGCCUUCUAGUACAGCUCAAACACGGACAGUGCAAAACAGAUCCUUGGGAUGUCCUUACCCUAAACCCUAACCUUAACUAGAACCAUAACCAUUACCUACCCCUAACCAAUUUAAAUGUCAACUUCAAUGGGAUAUGGACGUCCCAAGGACUCCGGAUAGCACGGACCGCUCAACCACAGCGUAUGGAAGGAUUUUCCCACGGUUAUGAGGCUAGUACUGAAUUUCAGUUGGAUACAGGGAAAUUGUGUCGAUAUCGGUGGAUCCUAUUUCUUUCGUGAAGGAUGGAAAAGCAUACAUAUCCCAGAAACAACGCGCUGUGCCGCUAAAUUUGGAGCGUUGAGAAGUGACUACAUUGUGCGCACUUUUUGCAGAUAUUUUCUGAAACACAUCGGUGCCCAACAUUAGCCUUUCAUUGCUAAAGCCCCACUUCCUAGAGUUCAACAUCAUCAUGAUCAGGGGUAACAGUGGGUUGAAGCCCAAAGACAAUGAAAUUAACCCUAAACCCUGGCCAAUCAACUACCAGGUUAGCAUGUUGAAUACUUCAGUGUGGUUUGACAGUCCCAUAAAAAUAUUAACUUAUCACUGUGCCUUUGUUCUGUUUCUGUAAAGGGAUAGAGGUUCUCAGGAGUGAAUGAGACAGAAUACCGUGUCUACCAGUUAGGGAACCCUGUGAUCUGGUGGCUGAACCUGGUCAGUCUGGGCCUGUAUGUGGUUAUGGUGGCAGCAGCCUCUCUGGCCCGCCGCAGAGGAGUCCAGCUGGACAAGAGAAAAAGCAUUGUUGCGUGCUGAUGGAAGGUGGAGGACUGCUGUUCCUGAGCUGGCUGCUGCACUACGUACCCUUCUACACCACAGGCCACAUCCUUUACUACCACCACUACUUCCCUGCCAUGCUCUUCAGCAGCAUGCUAACAGAUACAGUGGGCCUACCACAAAAACACAUGCUCCCCAUAAUUCCCCCGGUUAGUAUAGGUCCUUGGAGUGGAAGGUUGGGAGUUCGAUUCAUACCAAAAGACAAAAAAUAUGAUCCGAUGCGUCUCUGCCUGGAGCCACCACAGCAUCAAGGAGAUCGAUUGGGGGUAAGGCCAUCAAGCUGCCUCAUGCUGCAGAAACAGGAGGUAGGCUCCUGCUCCAAUGAGCUGUUCCGGCUUGCACAAGGCUACUUACAGUUGAAGUCGGAAGUUUACAUACACUUAGGUUGGAGUCAUUAAAACUAAUUUUUCAACCACUCCACAAAUUUCUUGUUAACAAACUAUAGUUUUGGCAA